rnacentral:ncRNA from 1 species
UCGGGUUUCUUGCUUCCUAAAAGUAAGUGGUGCGGAUGGGAUAACUCCCGCCUGGUUUCUAUGUUCCAGUCAAAAAUGUAGUGGUGGAGUCAAUUA